rnacentral:rRNA from 1 species
AUGCUAGUGAGUCCAUAUUAUCCGGUUGUUAUUGAAUAUUUUUGCAGUGAAGGUGUGUUCUUUGCUGGUAAGGAAGUAUCUUUGCUUGACAAAGGACACAAUUCACAUCAAUCUAUUCUUUCACUUGAACAGGAAAUUCCUCUCCUUAGUCAGUUUGAACAUCAAAAUAUAGUCCAGCAUUAUGGAACUGACAAGGGAGAUUCUAAACUCUACAUUUUUAUUGAGCUUGUUACACAGGGUUCUCUUUCAUCCCUCUAUCCGAAGUAUAAACUGCAAGACUUACAAGUCUGUGCGUACACACGGCAGAUUAUCAAUGGAUUGGUUUAUCUCGAUGAGAGGAAUGUGGUCCAUGGGUGUAUCAAAUGCGCCAAUAUAUUGGUUCAUGCAAAUGGAUCGGUAAAACUUACAGAUUUUGGGUUUAUGAAGGAGGUGUCUAAAAUUAAUAUGCUGAGAUCAUGCAAAGGAAGUGUUUACUGGAUGGCACCUGAGGAUGUUAAUCAUAGAAAAACAUAUGAGCAUGCAGCUGACAUGUGGAGCUUGGGUUGUACCGUGUUGGAAAUGCUAACCUGCCAAAUACCAUAUCCGAAUGCUGAGGGGAUAAAUGCUUUCUUUAUGAUUGGAAAAGGAGAACAACCUCCCAUUCCUAGUUAUUUUUCUAUAGAAGCUCAAGAUUUCAUGCGCCGGUGUGUAAGAGUCGAUGCAGACAAGCAACUUUCCGCAUCACAACUUUCGGUGCACCAAUUUGUUAACAGGCCACUUCGAGCUUCUUUUGAUUCUUGGUAUCCUCCGAUCAAUAGGUCAUAG